rnacentral:tRNA from 1 species
GGGCGGAUGGCGGAAUUGGUAGACGCACUAGACUCAAAAUCUAGCGAAGAGAUUCGUGAGAGUUCGACCCUCUCUCUGCCCA